AUUGAACGCUGGCGGCAUGCCUUACACAUGCAAGUCGAACGGUAACGGGCCUUCGGGUGCCGACGAGAGGCGAACGGGUGAGGAAUGCAUCGGAACGUACCCAUCCGUGGGGGAUAGCUCUCCGAAAGGAGGGCUAAUACCGCACAUUCUGGGCGCAGGAAAGCGGGGGACCGCAAGGCCUCGCGUUGGGGGAGCGGCCGAUGUCAGAGUAGCUAGUUGGUGUGGUAAAGGCCUACCAAGGCGACGAUCUGUAGCGGGUCUGAGAGGAUGAUCCGCAACACUGGGACUGAGACACGGCCCAGACUCCUACGGGAGGCAGCAGUGGGGAAUUUUGGACAAUGGGGGCAACCCUGAUCCAGCCAUGCCGCGUGAGUGAAGAAGGCCUUCGGGUUGUAAAGCUCUUUCGGCCGGGAAGAAAUCGCAUCUCCUAAUACGGGGUGUGGAUGACGGUACCGGAAUAAGAAGCACCGGCUAACUACGUGCCAGCAGCCGCAGUAACAC
rnacentral:rRNA from 1 species